rnacentral:rRNA from 1 species
AUACGGAGGGUGCAAGCGUUAUCCGGAUUCAUUGGGUUUAAAGGGUGCGCAGGCAGACUUGUAAGUCAGUGGUGAAAUCCCGGGGCUCAACCUCGGAACUGCCAUUGAUACUGCAAGUCUUGAGUUUGGUUGAAGUGGGCGGAAUGUAGCAUGUAGUGGUGAAAUGCAUAGAUAUGCUACAGAACACCGAUCGCGAAGGCAGCUCACUAAACCAACACUGACGCUCAGGCACGAAAGCGUGGGGAGCGAACAGGAUUAGAAACCCCAGUAGUCC